AAGCUCGUAGUUGAAUUUCGGGAUUAGUACGUCGGUCGUGCCUUAGGUACGUACUGGUGUUACUGGUUUCUACCUUCUGACGAACCAUCAUGUCAUUAAUUUGGUGUGGUGGGUAAUCAGGACUGUUACUUUGAAAAAAUUAGAGUGUUUAAAGCAGGCUCGCGCUUGAAUACAUUAGCAUGGAAUAAUGAAAUAGGACGUUGAUCCUAUUUUGUUGGUUUCUAGGAUUGACGUAAUGAUUAAUAGGGAUAGUUGGG
rnacentral:rRNA from 1 species